GACGAACGCUGGCGGCGUGCUUAACACAUGCAAGUCGAACGGAAAGGCCCUGCUUUUGUGGGGUGCUCGUGUGGCGAACGGGUGAGUAACACGUGAGUAACCUGCCCUUGACUUUGGGAUAACUUCAGGAAACAGGGGCUAAUACCGGAUAUGAGCUCCUGCUGCAUGGUGGGGGUUGGAAAGUUUCGGCGGUUGGGGCUGGACUCGCGGCUUAUCAGCUUGUUGGUGGGGUAGUGGCUUACCAAGGCUUUGACGGGUAGCCGGCCUGAGAGGGUGACCGGCCACAAUGGGACUGCGAGACGGCGCAGUCGCCUACGGGAGGCAGCAGGGGGGAAUAUUGCACAAUGGGCGGAAGCCAGAGACGGCAACGCCGCGUGCGGGAUGACGGCCUUCGGGUUGUAAACCGCUGUCGCCUGUGACGAAGCGUGAGUGACGGUAAUGGGUAAAGAAGCAACGGCUAACUACGUG
rnacentral:rRNA from 1 species